AUUGAACGCUGGCGGCAGGCCUAACACAUGCAAGUCGAGCGGCAGCGGGAAAGUAGCUUGCUACUUUUGCCGGCGAGCGGCGGACGGGUGAGUAAUGCCUGGGAAAUUGCCCAGUCGGGGGGGAUAACAGUUGGAAACGACUGCUAAUACCGCAUACGCCCUACGGGGGAAAGCAGGGGACCUUCGGGCCUUGCGCGAUUGGAUAUGCCCAGGUGGGAUUAGCUAGUUGGUGAGGUAAUGGCUCACCAAGGCGACGAGCCCUAGCUGGUCUGAGAGGAUGAUCAGCCACACUGGAACGGAGACACGGUCCAGACUCCUACGGGAGGCAGCAGUGGGGAAUAUUGCACAAUGGGGGAAACCCUGAUGCAGCCAUGCCGCGUGUGUGAAGAAGGCCUUCGGGUUGUAAAGCACUUUCAGCGAGGAGGAAAGGUCAGUAGCUAAUAUCUGCUGACUGUGACGUUACUCGCAGAAGAAGCACCGGCUAACUCCGUGCCAGCCGCCGCAGUAAGAC
rnacentral:rRNA from 1 species